rnacentral:lncRNA from 1 species
UCUCCCUAAUCUCAUGUAGCUCCACGAUCUUUGUUUACUUUGAAAGUUGUUGACCUACAAAUUAAAGUAUUGCGUGUUGAUGUUUGAAUCAUCUACAGCAAACAUAAUUAUGUUUAAAUUUAACAAAUAACAAUUUAUAAUUAGUGCACGAACUCUGAGAAUGAUUUAAAUAACCAGUGAAGGAUAUCCCUGCUUCUGCAUAGUGUGGCAUUCCAACAAUGACGUCAUUAUAAAAUAUAAUGUAGGUUGGAUAUGUUUAGAAUAUCUGGUCAUACUGAUUUUUCCGGAGUGUAAAAGAAACGUAAAUAGUGUAAAAGAGAGCUCAAAAUACGAUAAUUUCGCUAGAAACAGAAAGGAAAUGUGUAGAAAAGUGUUUAAAGUCAAUCUAUUCAUUUGUGUGUUUCCUUCUCAUCAAUCUCAGUAAGAUUUGUUGGGGGUUUUCCACACUAUAAAAACAAAAUGAAUGAUGUGAGGGAAUGUCACUUUGAUCAACCCCAUAGGGGAUUGACGGCUUGAAGCCG